rnacentral:rRNA from 1 species
UACGUAGGGGGCAAGCGUUGUCCGGAAUUAUUGGGCGUAAAGCGCGCGCAGGCGGUCUUUUAAGUCUGGUGUCUAAGUGCGGGGCUCAACCCCGUGAUGCACUGGAAACUGGGAGACUUGAGUGCAGAAGAGGAGAGCGGAAUUCCACGUGUAGCGGUGAAAUGCGUAGAUAUCUGAAGGAACAUCAGUGGCGAAAGCGACUUCCUGGACCAAUACUGACGCUCAUGUGCGAAAGCGUGGGGAGCAAACAGG